rnacentral:rRNA from 1 species
ACGAACGCUGGCGGCGUGCUUAACACAUGCAAGCCGAACGGAAAGGCCCUGCUUUUGUGGGGUGCUCGAGUGGCGAACGGGUGAGUAACACGUGAGUAACCUGCCCUUGACUUUGGGAUAACUUCAGGAAACUGGGGCUAAUACCGGAUAGGAGCUCCUGCUGCAUGGUGGGGGUUGGAAAGUUUCGGCGGUUGGGGAUGGACUCGCGGCUUAUCAGCUUGUUGGUGGGGUAGUGGCUUACCAAGGCUUUGACGGGUAGCCGGCCUGAGAGGGUGACCGGCCACAUUGGGACUGAGAUACGGCCCAGACUCCUACGGGAGGCAGCAGUGGGGAAUAUUGCACAAUGGGCGGAAGCCUGAUGCAGCAACGCCGCGUGCGGGAUGACGGCCUUCGGGUUGUAAACCGCUUUCGCCUGUGACGAAGCGUGAGUGACGGUAAUGGGUAAAGAAGCACCGGCUAACUACGUG